GACGAACGCUGGCGGCGUGCUUAACACAUGCAAUUCGAACGGAAAGGCCCUGCUUUUGUGGGGUGCUCGAGUGGCGAACGGGUGAGUAACACGUGAGUAACCUGCCCUUGACUUUGGGAUAACUUCAGGAAACUGGGGCUAAUACCGGAUAGGAGCUCCUGCUGCAUGGUGGGGGUUGGAAAGUUUCGGCGGUCGGGGAUGGACUCGCGGCUUACCAGCUUGUUGGUGGGGUAGUGGCUUACCAAGGCUUUGACGGGUAGCCGGCAUGGGAGGGUGACCGGCCACAUUGGGACUGAGAUACGGCCCAGACUCCUACGGGAGGCAGCAGUGGGGAGUAUUGCACAAUGGGCGGAAGCCUGAUGCAGCAACGCCGCGUGCGGAAUGAAGGCCUUCGGGUUGUAAACCGCUUUCGCCUGUGACGAAGCGUGAGUGACGGUAAUGGGUAAAGAAGCACCGGCUAACUACGUG
rnacentral:rRNA from 1 species